rnacentral:misc_RNA from 1 species
UCAAACUUGGUCAUUUAGAGGAAGUAAAAGUCGUAACAAGGUUUCCGUAGGUGAACCUGCGGAAGGAUCAUUACUGAAAGAUACUAGGGCUUUGAGACUGCGUCUAAAAUGGACGUGUGCUCGGCUCUUACUCUUUAUCCACACACACCUCUGUGUACUAUGGGAUGUAAAAGUCCCCCUUUUCACACAAAAACCGAGUUAUAUGCAUGUUAUUUAUGCUCUACGGAGUAAUAUACAACUUUCAACAACGGAUCUCUUGGCUUUCGCAUCGAUGAAGAACGCAGC